AUUGAACGCUAGCGGGAUGCUUUACACAUGCAAGUCGAACGGCAGCGCGGACUUCGGUCUGGCGGCGAGUGGCGAACGGGUGAGUAAUGUAUCGGAACGUGCACAGUAGCGGGGGAUAACUACGCGAAAGCGUAGCUAAUACCGCAUACGCCCUACGGGGGAAAGCAGGGGAUCGUAAGACCUUGCACUAUUGGAGCGGCCGAUAUCGGAUUAGCUAGUUGGUGAGGUAACGGCUCACCAAGGCGACGAUCCGUAGCUGGUUUGAGAGGACGACCAGCCACACUGGGACUGAGACACGGCCCAGACUCCUACGGGAGGCAGCAGUGGGGAAUUUUGGACAAUGGGGGCAACCCUGAUCCAGCCAUCCCGCGUGUGCGAUGAAGGCCUUCGGGUUGUAAAGCACUUUUGGCAGGAAAGAAACGUCGCGGGCUAAUACCCCGUGGAACUGACGGUACCUGCAGAAUAAGCACCGGCUAACUACGUG
rnacentral:rRNA from 1 species